CAGUAGCCGCGGUAAUACGAAGGGGGCUAGCGUUGUUCGGAUUUACUGGGCGUAAAGGGUGCGUAGGCGGACUGAUAAGUCAGGGGUGAAAUCCCAAGGCUCAACCUUGGAACUGCCUUUGAUACUGUUAGUCUUGAGUUCGAGAGAGGUGAGUGGAACUGCGAGUGUAGAGGUGAAAUUCGUAGAUAUUCGCAAGAACACCAGUGGCGAAGGCGGCUCACUGGCCCGAAACUGACGCUGAGGCACGAAAGCGUGGGGAGCAAACAGGAUUAGAUACCCGUGUAGUCCCUGUCUCUUAUAC
rnacentral:rRNA from 1 species